CAGCCAUUGGGUCUGAAAAGAUUGGAAGUAGAGAGAACCCAGAUUUUACAAGACAGAGCUGAAAAAUCUUACUAAGCGGAGAGAGACCUUCCUUACUUCCACCUUGUUUUGUCAGAAAGAACAAAAGGUAGUCUUCCAGAGCUUUGGAAAAUACAAAAAGGACAUCUGUCUACAGUAUGUGGAUGUGACUGACACACCAAUAUUCACCACUGUUACGUAAUUAGGAUAUGUUUUGUACAAAGUAUACUUUGUGAGGCAUCAUUCUAAAAGUCUUGAUCUGCUAGGUUAUGUUACGUUCUUAUGCUAGACAUGAAUAUCUCGCUGGAUUGUAUGUGCUAUCAUCGUAUGUGAAGUUAUGAAGUUGGGCUACGUAUGUGUUACUGAAACUCGUUGUGAGGCUGAAAACACCCACAAGCAGCCUUUCAGGUACAACAGUAAAAAGGCCAAACAAUGCUAAUGGCUUGUUGAGGAAAUGCACACAAGCACGAGGAUUACAAUAGAAACCUCUCGAAGAUAGCACUACACAAUGGGAACUGUUUGACCCAGCUCACAGCAAAAGAGCUUUCCAGCAAGUGGGGAGAAGAUAUAAAAGGGAUAAAAUGACAUCAUGAGGGGACCUCAUUCUCCCUACAACAACCCACCUGGAAACACCUGAGGAAUAAAGACUGAACAAGGGGGGGGAGGGGGAAGAGGAGGAGGGAGCAACGGUCAUAGGCUAAAAGGGAUUUCUAGCCUGCGUACGAAAACCUGGGAAACCCAAGCUGCAAAGCCAAGGCAGUUUGUGCCUUAAGAAUCUGACAGCCUGUUUAUCAAUCAGGGUGAGAAUUUGUUAAUUCACAUACUAUCUAUCUGGUAUGUUAAACUCAGUUUGCAGUUUUGUUUAUUUACUAGGUAAUCAUAUAUAACCACUUAAAAUGUAUCCAUUUGUAGUUAAUAAACUUAUUUUAUAUUUUAA